rnacentral:rRNA from 1 species
UACGAAGGGGGCUAGCGUUGCUCGGAAUCACUGGGCGUAAAGCGCACGUAGGCGGCUUUUUAAGUCAGGGGUGAAAUCCUGGAGCUCAACUCCAGAACUGCCUUUGAUACUGAGAAGCUUGAGUCCGGGAGAGGUGAGUGGAACUGCGAGUGUAGAGGUGAAAUUCGUAGAUAUUCGCAAGAACACCAGUGGCGAAGGCGGCUCACUGGCCCGGUACUGACGCUGAGGUGCGAAAGCGUGGGGAGCAAACAGGG